rnacentral:rRNA from 1 species
UCGCCUGUUUAUCAAAAACAUCGCCUCUUGCUACACCCCGAAUAAGAGGUCCAGCCUGCCCCGUGACUAUGUGUUUAACGGCCGCGGUAUCAUGACCGUGCAAAGGUAGCGCAAUCACUUGUUUUUUAAAUGAAGACCCGUAUGAAUGGCUUAACGAGGGCUUAGCUGUCUCCUUUCCUCGGUCAAUGAAAUUGAUCCCCCCGUGCAAAAGCGGGGAUGCCCUCAUAAGACGAGAAGACCCUGUGGAGUUUUAGGCACCCCCAGCCCUCCCCCGAGAGAGCCCUAUUAAGAGCAACAAUCACAUAACCCUGCAAAGGUGCCUUUGGUUGGGGCGACCACGGAGAACAAAAACCCUCCAUGCGGAAUAAGAACACCCUCCUCCAAAACAAGGGCCCCCGCCCUAAUUAUCAGAACCUCUGACCGAACAGACCCGGCAAGACCGACUAACAGACCAAAUUACCCCAGGGAUAACAGCGCAAUCCCCUUUUAGAGGCCCUAUCAAAAAGGGGGCUUACGACCUCGAUGUUGGAUCAGGACAUCCUAAUGGCGCAGCUACUAUUAAGGGUUCGUUUGUUCAACGAUUAAAGUCCUACGUGAUCUGAGUUCAGACCGGA